AUUUGACCAUCUUGUGUGUUUACGGAGAAGACCAAAAGCUGCUAAGGCAGAUAUUUCCAGAGGUACAAACAGAGCGGAUGGUUGCAUGAUGGCCUCUUUCAGGUUUGUCAACUGAAUGUCUACUAGUGUGGCUCAGCAAGUUCCUGUCAUGAUCAGCCCUCUCCAAGAAAGUCCUAGAAUGAACAAAUCAUCAGGGCAUCAUUUCUGGAAUUUGGGCAGAAAAUGACUGAAUAUGAAAGACUGCAGUAGAAGGAAAGCUGGUACUGAGAACAUUUGUCUUCACUCCAGACUAAAGAGAAGCGGGUCUGAGGCCAGAGAUGGAGGAGUCAAUGGUCACCAAAUGCAGCGCUGCAGCCUGAAACUGUGAAGACUGAAUUCCCAAACAGCUGUGUGACUGCACAGAUGUUACGGCCAUAAAAGAAACUUCACAACUGAGAGCCCAUACCUCCAACAACCUUCAACAGGAAUCAAUGGACAUCUACGCAAGGUUUUUCUUUUGUUGAGGACCGUCAGAGACUCCAGCCACACGAGCCAUGGAUUUCUCUCAACAUCACCAUCAGACAGACAUUAUCACAGAACCAGCACCAGCAGACUGCAAAACAAGUUCCUUCAACAGGCAAUCAGACUGAACUGAACUCGUACCAGUAACACCACACACACACACACACACACACACAUACACACACCAGCAGCCUCAUACUGUGUGCACUGCAC